UCUCCGUUGGUGAACCAGCGGAGGGAUCAUUACAGAGUUGCAAAACUCCCAACCAUUGUGAACCUACCUUACCGUUGCUUCGGCGGGUGGCUCCCUUCCGGGGCCGCGCCGGCCCCCUCCCCGGGGCCCGGCAACCCGUCAGAGGCCCGCAACUCUUCGUCAUCAUUGGCCUCUCUGAGUAACUUAUACAAUAAGUCAAAACUUUCAACAACGGAUCUCUUGGUUCUG
rnacentral:misc_RNA from 1 species